GUUUAGCCCUGAUUGAAACGGCAUCCUUUUUUGAUGAAAGAAAAAAGAUAUAGUGGAAAGCAGGAAAUAGC
rnacentral:sRNA from 1 species